rnacentral:lncRNA from 1 species
CAUGGAGAUCCUACUACUACAGAGGAGAGGAGGUAACAUGGAGAUCCUACUACUACAGAGGAGAGGAGGUAACAUGGAGGUCCUACUACUACAGAGGAGAGGAGGUAACAUGGAGAUCCUACUACUACAGAGGAGAGGAGGUAACAUGGAGAUCCUACUACUACAGAGGAGAGGAGGUAACAUGGAGGUCCUACUACUACAGAGGAGAGGAGGUAACAUGGAGGUCCUACUACUACAGAGGAGAGGAGGUAACAUGGAGAUCCUACUACUACAGAGGAGAGGUAACAUGGAGAUCCUACUACUACAGAGGAGAGGAGGUAACAUGGAGGUCCUACUAUUACAGAGGAGAGGAGGUAACAUGGAGAUCCUACUACUACAGAGGAGAGGAGGUAACAUGGAGGUCCUACUACUACAGAGGAGAGGAGGUAACAUGGAGGUCCUACUACUACAGAGGGAAGCCUACUGGAUAUCCUGUCUAAAAACAUUGACCCCUCGUGGUCUGAAUAUUGACUUAGAUCAAAGACCCUUAUUAUGAACAAUAUUUAGAGUCUAAAAAACAGUAUUUAAAAAAAUCUAUUCUUUCUGCAGGUUAUCAGCAUACACCCAAUAUGUUCCCCUGUUGAUGCAGCUUCUUAUGCAUUAGGGUUGAACCAAAAGAUUAUUCCAAACAAUUAUAUAUUUGUGUGUG